rnacentral:rRNA from 1 species
AAAUUGAAGAGUUUGAUCAUGGCUCAGAUUGAACGCUGGCGGCAGGCCUAACACAUGCAAGUCGAACGGUAACAGGAAGCAGCUUGCUGCUUUGCUGACGAGUGGCGGACGGGUGAGUAAUGUCUGGGAAACUGCCUGAUGGAGGGGGAUAACUACUGGAAACGGUGGCUAAUACCGCAUAACGUCGCAAGACCAAAGAGGGGGACCUUCGGGCCUCUUGCCAUCAGAUGUGCCCAGAUGGGAUUAGCUGGUUGGUGAGGUAACGGCUCACCAAGGCGACGAUCCCUAGCUGGUCUGAGAGGAUGACCAGCCACACUGGAACUGAGACACGGUCCAGACUCCUACGGGAGGCAGCAGUGGGGAAUAUUGCACAAUGGGCGCAAGCCUGAUGCAGCCAUGCCGCGUGUAUGAAGAAGGCCUUCGGGUUGUAAAGUACUUUCAGCGGGGAGGAAGGUGUUGUGGUUAAUAACCACAGCAAUUGACGUUACCCGCAGAAGAAGCACCGGCUAACUCCGUGCCAGCAGCCGCGGUAAUACGGAGGGUGCAAGCGUUAAUCGGAAUUACUGGGCGUAAAGCGCACGCAGGCGGUCUGUCAAGUCGGAUGUGAAAUCCCCGGGCUCAACCUGGGAACUGCAUUCGAAACUGGCAGGCUUGAGUCUUGUAGAGGGGGGUAGAAUUCCAGGUGUAGCGGUGAAAUGCGUAGAGAUCUGGAGGAAUACCGGUGGCGAAGGCGGCCCCCUGGACAAAGACUGACGCUCAGGUGCGAAAGCGUGGGGAGCAAACAGGAUUAGAUACCCUGGUAGUCCACGCCGUAAACGAUGUCUACUUGGAGGUUGUGCCCUUGAGGCGUGGCUUCCGGAGCUAACGCGUUAAGUAGACCGCCUGGGGAGUACGGCCGCAAGGUUAAAACUCAAAUGAAUUGACGGGGGCCCGCACAAGCGGUGGAGCAUGUGGUUUAAUUCGAUGCAACGCGAAGAACCUUACCUGGUCUUGACAUCCACGGAAGUUUUCAGAGAUGAGAAUGUGCCUUCGGGAACCGUGAGACAGGUGCUGCAUGGCUGUCGUCAGCUCGUGUUGUGAAAUGUUGGGUUAAGUCCCGCAACGAGCGCAACCCUUAUCCUUUGUUGCCAGCGGUUAGGCCGGGAACUCAAAGGAGACUGCCAGUGAUAAACUGGAGGAAGGUGGGGAUGACGUCAAGUCAUCAUGGCCCUUACGACCAGGGCUACACACGUGCUACAAUGGCGCAUACAAAGAGAAGCGACCUCGCGAGAGCAAGCGGACCUCAUAAAGUGCGUCGUAGUCCGGAUUGGAGUCUGCAACUCGACUCCAUGAAGUCGGAAUCGCUAGUAAUCGUGGAUCAGAAUGCCACGGUGAAUACGUUCCCGGGCCUUGUACACACCGCCCGUCACACCAUGGGAGUGGGUUGCAAAAGAAGUAGGUAGCUUAACCUUCGGGAGGGCGCUUACCACUUUGUGAUUCAUGACUGGGGUGAAGUCGUAACAAGGUAACCGUAGGGGAACCUGCGGUUGGAUCACCUCCUUA